GGAUCAAUAGUGACGGUAGCCCAAGGCUCUUAACCUUGUGGUCGUGGGUUCGAGCCCCACGGUGGGCGCCA
rnacentral:tRNA from 1 species